GGUCUCUGAGCUGGUGCAAGCUGGUUCCAGCCACCACUCUGGCAGCCAGUGUGUUCUUGUGGAGCCUGCAGUCACCUGGUUUGAGCUUCCUAAGGCCUGGCACCUGUUCUGCUCUCGCCAGGAUGCAGCACGAAAGGUCAUCCAGCCGGCCAGAAGGAGAGGCAGCUGGGAACGGCCACUCUGCUCACAGCGUGUUGUAACAUCAGCACCUGGGCCACAGCCUUGAGGACAGGUGGCUCCUACUCUAGAAGGAGCCAGUGCACCACCCAGCUGUGACACAGGGACCGUCCUACCCAUUCUGCUGUGCAGGCACAAGGCCCACUGGGGGACCAAAGUGCACGUUGCUGGUAUUUUCCCUUCUCUCCUUUGUCUCCCGUCUCCACACCCUCGGUCCCCACAGGAUCACUCUGAUGCUGUUGUGUGAGGCUCCUCAUUCACCUUGGCCCAGGGACGACUGGCUGUGUGGGAGAACCAAGACCCGGAAGAUCACUGGAACAGAGCCAAGGUGUCCUAAGGCUUCCCUGGAGAAGGCCCGGAUGGCGGGCUCUUGGCAGCACCCUGGAGUUGACCGCAAGACACCCAUCAAGGCCCUCCCUGCUUGGGGUUUGGGGGAAUGGAGAACAACGGAAGGAGGAUUGGCUCUGGGGUGUGGCCCAAAUUCAAGUGGGUGGUGGGGGAGUGGUCUCCGAGCCCCAGUUGUGCUACCUGUACCAGGAGGGACUGCGGGUUAAGAGAGAGAGUGGUUACAGGAAUCUGAGCAAGACCACCCAGUGUCGACAGCACUGGAGCACUCACUGCGGACUCUCAGUGAAGCACAACUAUUACAGACAGCCAGGCUAGGCAAAAAUAUUAUAGGCAGUCAGACGGGGCUAGGCCCUCAAGAGAGUCAGGACAAAGAUAAAAACACAUUUCCACUGUGUCCGGAGGCAUCUGUUAGAAGCCAGGCCUCAAGAAGAAGAAGAAAUGACCAGGCUUGAGGUAAGUGGUGACAGGCGGCCUAAUGAAGUCAGAUAGACGUCACCUCAGUGGGUGACCAGGGCCCUCAGACUCAUCCUUCCUCUGAAGUUCUUAGUUCCUUCCAUGUACACCUGCUCUGUGACUUGCUUCCCCAUUGGGUCAGCAUUACCUAGGCGGCUCUACUUUUAAUCCAAUUGGUUGCUCAUAGCCGUAACCCAUGUUGUACCCAUGUGGUUGUGCUCUAUAAAAUUUCCCCUGAGAAGUGGGGUUCUCGGCAACCCACUUUUGGGCCCCCUCCUGCCUCUCACAAGCUAUAUCUUUCCCCUCAAUGACUGUUUCCUACUCUUAACCUCUGUUUCUAGAAUCCAUUCCUGGAUAUUAGAGAACGGGGAAAUCUGUGUCAGACAUCUAACAUGUUAGGAGUUAUAACGUUUCUCCUCUAUCAUUUGGAGGUUUUAUAUCAUUUUCUACAUCACAACCAAUUAGCCAUCAAACAAAAGCCUUGGGGAAUGACAGGGACACUGCUUGUAUUGGUGUUAGUGACAGCCCACAGUGGAGAGGCUUAGGACUGUGGGCAGCCUCCUGAGGUAAGAGACCUCAGAUGAGGGUGGUUUUAUCUUGGGCUUCUUGGAGUUUUGUUUUGUUUUGUUUUUUGGUACCAGGGAUCGAAUUCUGGUCCUUGCACUUGCAAGGCAGGUGGUGCCACCACUGAGCUAAAUCCCGGGCCCUGUGGAGUUUUAACUGUCAGAUAAAAGUGUUUACAAAUGGCAAAGGCCCAGGGCGUAGCUCAGUGGGAGAAAGUGCUCCUAGCCUGUUGGUGACUCUGGGUUUAUCCCAACACUGCAAAACAAAGUGCAAUAAAAUAAAAUAAUCAGGCUAAUUCUGUGUGUGUGUGUGUGUGUGUGUGUGUGUGUGUGUGUGUGCUCAAGCGCGUGUGCACACUUGGGACUGGGGAUGGAACCCAGGGCCUUGCCACCGAGCUACAUCCCCAGAUAUUUGUUUAUCUUUUUAUUUUUAUUAGAUCUCAUUAACACAGUAUUUGUUGAUACUAUUUAUACAGUAAAUUUGGUUGACUGUGAAGUUUUGCAUAGCCUGAAUUGGGUACCAUUUCCUUGCAUACAAAGGUACUCUCUCAUUUACAAGUUGGCAUUAGGCAUUUGCCCAGAUAUUGGCCUGUCAAAUAUUUUACAAUCAACUGUGUUUCUAUUAAACAAAAACUAAAAGGAUUCCGUGGAGAGUGAUUGUAUGAUUGCCAAACAUAUCUGAUGUUAAAUGUCGUUAAAGUUCUGCUUGAUCGUCUCUGUCAGUUUGUGCAAUUAAGACAGAGAGAGCUGGGAUUUUAUGAAUCGCAGGAGUCUCAUCUGAACAGUCUGCAUGUGUAAAAGUUGUUUUUAGCCUGGUGAAGGGGUAUCCAUGAAGCCGUGGACCUCUGUAUUCUUGUCUUUGCUAGUCAAUGACAGCCAUCUUUCCAACCGUUACCUUUUGUGCUGCCAUAGGUUUUUGGUUUUCGCCAUAGGUUUUAGGAGCUGGCAAGGAUCUGCAAACAGGCUGUGCGAGUUUGCUGCGAGGCACUGGGAUGCUCCCAGCAGAAGGGACACUGGGUCUGGGCAAGCUACUUCUCCUUGCAGUUGUCCCUGCAGGUCUGGUUAGAGUAGUGCUGUUGAUAUUGCAGGGAGGAUCUGUUGGGACUGUGUUCUAAACCAUGGGAGGCCCAGGAGAGGAGGUGGUUUGUGUGAACUGUGUUGUUUCUUGGCUGCCAGGAGAACCAGAGCCAUGGUUACCAAAGGCUUUCAUUGGUUGCCAAAGAGUCAAAGGAGAUGGUGUUGCUGGUGUGAGGAAUUUGCCUGGAGAAGGUAUGGCUGAAGCCUGAGGUUGCGUAUGAGGAAUUCCUCCAUUUGGCACAUGAAAAUUUGAAUCACUUCUGCUGCUUUUCACUGAGUCAACUUGUAUGUUAGAUGUUUGAGACAGGUUUGGAAGACUGUGUCUUAGUUUCUCUUCUUUUUUUGGGGGGGUACUGGGGAUCGAACUCAGGUCCUUGCGCCUGCCAGGCAAGUGGUGGAAUCACUGAGCUAAAUCCCUGGCCCAGUUGCUCUUCAUAUUUAACAUUGCUGCCUGUAAAUUUGUGGGAUGACCUUGAAGUGAAAAGUGAAGUUGCUGUAAGCAGCUAAUCACAGGCUGUGGAGACACUACUAUAUUCUAUUCCCUGAGCUGGAGAUCGUGAAUGAGGUGAAUUUCUAGGUGACUGCUUAGGUGAUGGUUGAGGUGAAUUGCGUGGUGAUGGUGAAAACAUGUUAACAGUAUGAUGUGUAGUGUCAUCUUCAUCAUCUAAACUUUGUGCAUCAAGUUCCUCAUCACUAAAUGCACCCCGUUUAUUUCUUAUUUUUAGACAAGGUCUCACUAAGUUACCAGAUGCCCAGGCUGAACUCAAACUUGCAGCCCUCCUGCCUCAGCCUCCUGCAGUACUGGGAUUAUAGGUCUGUGCUACCAUGCCUGGCUCAGAAUAGUUAAUUUUAAAAAAUCCUUGCGGGAUUUAUAAGACCAGGAAUACAGAAUCUAGUGUUGGCACCCAGCACAGUACGGAUGUUGGACCCUAACCGCUAUGUAACCCCUAGUUAGCCAGCAUACAGCAGCACACAUUUCUUUCUACCCAGCUCCAAGAUAAGAUUAGAACAGAGUGUACGGAAGCCUGGUAUGGGCAAACAAGAUAGCGACUCAAGGCCUCAUUAGAAGAGAACAGCCUGAGGUCUGGAGAUGAAAGGCCAGGUGCACAGUAUAGCCGACUCCUUUAGAUAGAUGGCAGAAAACCGGCCCCCGACCCCUGGCCUACUUGCUGUGCUUGCAAUUCUCUUCCCUUGCCUUUAAAAAACUGUGCUAACCCCUGUGCUGGGCCUGAGCUGCUCAGUUCUGAGAGUGCUGUCUGGCCAGACUAAUAAAGGUCUAUUUACCAACGAGCCUGGUGUGUUUCUUCCUGGGUGACUCUGGCUGUUCGUUGAGCUCCCAGAGCCUCGCUGAGCUAUAGGUCCCAGCAUCUUGGAGGCCCUUUGCACUGUUCAAGUCUCCUGGAAGUAAGGCCCUGGGUCUUGCAUCCAGAGCCAUCGUUGGGCUAUUAGGACCCAGCAUCGUGAAGGCCCUUUUGGCUGUUCACGCUCCUCGAAGUGGAAGUGAGACUUUAGGUUUACACAGGGUCCCAGGAAGACAGAGUCUGGAGGAGGAGAGGAAAUUUCUUUUGAGACAGGGUCUCACUAUGUAGUUGAGACUGACCUGGAACUCACUAUGUAGCCCAGGCUGGUCUUGAACUCACAGCGAUCUUCCUGCCUCAGCCUCCCAAGUGCUGGGAUUACAGGUGUGCACCACAAUGCCCAGCUAGAGAGGAAAUUUCUUUAAGGUUCUGUUUCCUGGGGAAUAGAACACUGUCUGGGGGUGGGAGGUGGCAGUCGGUUGACAAAAAGCCAGAAGGUAGCAGUGUUUAUGCGGGGAGGAGCAGUGGGGGACCCAGUUGGUCCAGAGACCCCCCAGAUUAACGGCCCCUAGGUGCCCAGCCUUCUUCCCCUCGCAUUGCUCUGCC
rnacentral:lncRNA from 1 species